UUUUAGAACGCGCCGAGGACUGGGGGAUAACUAUACCAAAGGUUAGCUAAUACCGCAUACGCUUUGAAAAGGAGAGCGGGGGAUCGCAAGACCUUGGGCUAUUGGAGCGGCCGACGUCUGAUUAGGUAGAUGGUGAGGUAAAGGCUCACCAAGGCCACGAUCUGUAUCUGAUCUGAGAGGACGAUCCCCCACACUGGGACUGAGACUCGGCCCAGACUCCUACGGGAGGGAGCAGUGGGGAAUUUUGGACAUUGGGCGCAAGCCUGAUCCUGCCAUGCCGCGUGCCUGAAGAAGGCCUUCGGGUUGUAUAGGGCUUUUGUAAGGAAGGAAAUCCCUAGCGCUAAUACUGCUGGCUGUUGACGGUACCUGAAGAAUAAGCACCGGCUAACUACGUGCCAGCAGCCGCGGUAGUACGUAGGGGGCAACCCCUAAUCGGAAUUACUGGGCGUAAAGCGUGCGCAGGCGCUUGUGUAAGACUGAUGUGAAAGCCCCGGGCUCAACCUGCGAACUGCAUUGGAGACUGCGCAGCUAGAGUGCGACAGAGAGGGAUGGAGUUCCACGUGCACCAGCGCAAUGCGCAGAGAUGCGGAGGAAUACCGAUGGCGAAGGCAAUCCCCUGGGCCUGGUUCUGACGCUCAUUGCACGAGAGCGUGAGCGAGAAACAGGAUCAUGAUAUCCCUGGCUACUCCACCGCCCCUAAACCAUGUCGACUUGCGCUGUUGGGGCUCUCCAGAUGACUCGGUAAACACACCUAAAGCGACGCAGGGUGGAACGGC
rnacentral:rRNA from 1 species